rnacentral:rRNA from 1 species
AGCGAACGCUGGCGGCAGGCUUAACACAUGCAAGUCGAGCGGGCGUAGCAAUACGUCAGCGGCAGACGGGUGAGUAACGCGUGGGAACGUACCUUUUGGUUCGGAACAACACAGGGAAACUUGUGCUAAUACCGGAUAAGCCCUUACGGGGAAAGAUUUAUCGCCGAAAGAUCGGCCCGCGUCUGAUUAGCUAGUUGGUGAGGUAAUGGCUCACCAAGGCGACGAUCAGUAGCUGGCUGAGAGGAUGAUCAGCCACAUUGGGACUGGGACACGGCCCAAACUCCUACGGGAGGCAGCAGUGGGGAAUAUUGGACGAUGGGCGCAAGCCUGAUCCAGCCAUGCCGCGUGAGUGAUGAAGGCCCUAGGGUUGUAAAGCUCUUUUGUGCGGGAAGAUAAUGACGGUACCGCAAGAAUAAGCCCCGGGCUAACUUCGUGCCAGCAGCCGCAGUAAC